rnacentral:rRNA from 1 species
GUGACUACGUCCCUGCCCUUUGUACACACCGCCCGUCGCUCCUACCGAUUGAAUGGUCCGGUGAAGUGUUAGGAUCGCGGUGACGUGGGCGGUUCGCUGCCUACGACAUCGCGAGAAUUCCACUGAACCUUAUCAUUUAGAGGAAGGAGAAGUCGUAACAAGGUUUCCGUAGGUGAACCUGCGGAAGGAUCAUUG